rnacentral:tRNA from 1 species
GCCUUCGUGGUGUAGUGGUCAGCACACUGAGCCGGUCCGUGGUUCGAUCCCCGGCGAAGGCA